CAAUAGCGUAUAUUAACGUUGUUGCAGUUAAAAAGCUCGUAGUUGGAUUUCUGGAGGGAGCGUCGGCCCGUAUUUACGAGUGCGUGACGUCUCUGUCCAUCCUUGCGGGAAGGCACGGCAUUGAUUUGUUGUGUCGGAUCGCAUCAUUUACUGUGAAAAAAUUAGAGUUUUCAAAGCAGGCUUUCGCUUGAAUACAUUAGCAUGGAAUAAUAAGAUAGGACUUUGGUGCUAUUUUGUUGGUUGAGCCUAAAGUAAUGAUUAAUAGGGAUAGUUGGGGGCACCUGUAUUGCGUUGUCAGAGGUGAAAUUCUUGGAUUUACGCAAGACAAACAGCUGCGAAAGCGUCUGCCAAGGAUGCUUUCAUUAA
rnacentral:rRNA from 1 species